rnacentral:rRNA from 1 species
GUGAACGCUGGCGGUAGGCCUAACACAUGCAAGUCGAACGGCAGCACAGUAAGCGCUUGCUCUUACGGGUGGCGAGUGGCGGACGGGUGAGGAAUACAUCGGAAUCUACUUUUUCGUGGGGGAUAACGUAGGGAAACUUACGCUAAUACCGCAUACGACCUACGGGUGAAAGCAGGGGGUCUUCGGACCUUGCGCGAUUGAAUGAGCCGAUGUCGGAUUAGCUAGUUGGCGGGGUAAAGGCCCACCAAGGCGACGAUCCGUAGCUGGUCUGAGAGGAUGAUCAGCCACACUGGAACUGAGACACGGUCCAGACUCCUACGGGAGGCAGCAGUGGGGAAUAUUGGACAAUGGGCGCAAGCCUGAUCCAGCCAUACCGCGUGGGUGAAGAAGGCCUUCGGGUUGUAAAGCCCUUUUGUUGGGAAAGAAAAGCAGCAGGUUAAUACCCCGCUGUUCUGACGGUACCCAAAGAAUAAGCACCGGCUAACUUCGUG